GGAGUUUUGUGUUUCAGUUUUUCUUUUGCUGAGUUGGGAAAUGUUUUGUUUUGUUUUUUUACUGUUCAGGAAGUGAAUCUUUUUUGACAGGUCACAGCAAGAAACUUCUGCAAGUACAUGUUCCUCAUCUUCUGCAGUGUUUUUCCAUGUAAUGUCUGAAAAGGUCACAAAAGUGCAUGUUGUGUGCAUUGUGCCUGCAGCAUAUGCUCUACACCAAAAUUUCUUUGAUAGUGUCCCAUCAUCUACAUUGGAGGGCUUCUGUGUUGUAGAAAUCACUAAGAGGGUAGCCACAGAACCUGAGUGCAACAUCUCUCUCAGAGUCAGGGCAUAAUGGCAUUACAAGGUCUGCAACAGCUGCUGCAGAGAUAUAUCCGUGACUCAUCUGAAAUCCUACUAUGAAUAAAGCUCUAAUCCAGCAUCAUAACCUCUUCUGCUAGCCAAAGAAAAAUGCUAAAUAUAAAUAAAUCUCUUACAGAAUGCAAAUGUAGGGAAAGGUUGGUAAGAUUGCAAAAAAGUCAAAAAGCUCUAUUAUCCCAAAAAAGGGAAAUUGAAGGAGAAAUUAAAAGAAAGUUUUCUCCAAGUCUCCUAUUUCCAUUUGUCUUCUAGAUCUUUGGAAAUACUAGCAUUUAUUUAGACACCAGGAGACUAAUCUAAUGUUUAUCUGAGAGAAAAGGAUUGUAAAAGGUAGACUACCAAGUGAAAUCAGUAUUACAUCAGAUGUCUGGAAACUAAAACAGAUGACUAUUCAGGUUUUGAAACACAGAACAGUAUUUACCAUGGUGGGAGUUUAACUAGUUCAUCUAGUUGCUAAACCUCCACCAACACCAGCAAUACCUGUUGUACAUUUCAUCUCUCUUACCAAGCUGAAUUUGAUACAAGGAUAUAAAGACAAGCUUCCUCUAAGCAAAAAAAAAAAAAAAAAAAAAAUUUGCUUUAUACAUUCUUUUAAUUCUUAAAUAUCAGCCUGAUGAAAAGUAGCUGUUCCUACUCAGAGAAAUAUGUACCAUAAACUUAGAUCCAGAAACAUCACUUUGACUGUCACCUUUCUGUGCAAUGCUAUGGAGUAACUGAAUUCAGUGUUCCUGAAGGGAAGGAUAAUCAUUAAUAGAGCUGAAUGCAGUUUGUGCAAUGUCUCAAUUUUAAUAAGCUUAUUUGAAGCUUUAAAACCUGCUGAGAUGGUGAUCUAUUUAUAUCUCAGCAGUACUGCACACAGCUGCAGUGUACUUGGGACCCAAAGAACUGAGUGGUCUUGAACCCAAAUGGAGCUCUAUGCAGAGCUGAUUUAAGGGGAAAGUAUAGUUUGCCAAAGCAAAAUACGAGAAAAACAGGGGAAAAAACUGUGUUUUUGCUAAAGCAGAUGCUUUUCUGGGAAAGGGAGAAAAGUAAAGGUGCUCCAUUGUGGAAGAGCAGCAUGUGUCCAAUUGAUAGGAUCCCUGUUUUAUUAAUUGUUUCCUUCAGUGAGCUAGAAGGAAAAUAUAAAUAUAGCUCCACAUAGCACCUCUUGUUUCCUGCAGUGAUUUCCACAAUUGUCUCUUUACCAGUAAACUGUAGCUGAAAAUAGCUUUUGGAAACAAUUAUAAAAUACUUAGUUUAGAAAAAAAGUGAAUAGUAUUGCUUACUUUUCAUUCUCGUCUUGUAAAGGAUCAAAUAUAGAAAACUAAAUAGAACAACUUUUAAAAAUAAAAGUCCAUAAAAUUAUGUAUUAUUUUACAGUCAUGUUAAGCAUUUCCUGUAUAUUUAUGGAGAAUUAUUUUAAUUGUGGAGAUAAGUUGACUGUAAUAGUUGACAAUGUCACAUGAUUACUCAACAUGUAGGGAUAAAAUACAAACUGCAAUGGAUGCAUAAAUCAAAGCAGUGACUCAGCAUGCAGCACAUGACCUUUGCCUUAGUUUCCUAAAGGAAAUGUGGCAAUGAAAAUAAAUUUAUCCCUUUCUUUCACAGGGAAGGGGAAAAGAGGAACAGAAACCUGUUCAGGUUUCUGCAGGUGUUCUACCCAGUUCUCAGUUCUUGUGUGAGUGGCCAGCAGUUUCACUCCCAGAACUUUUGCUCUUAUUGCCUUCCUCUUCCACAAGGGAACUGCCUCUUACCACCUGGAAAGAAAACUGGAGCUUCUACUAGCAAUGGCCACAGAGGGUGUCAGAUAUAUCUGGGUAGUAUGAUCACAGCCAAGAUAAAAGCAGGACCCAUCUGAAGGGGAAGCAGAAGUGGGCAAAAGCACUGCAUGUCACAAGUGUGUUGGCCACUACAAAGCUCCUCUGCUCCAAGAAAUGUUUUCUUGCACAAGGUUGAGAGAGGCUGCAAGAGCUGGAUCCCCAUAGUAAUGCCUGAGAGUGGAGAUAAAGCCAAGGAGACACAUUCACUAACUGGAUUCUUGUUGAUUGCACAGGAACAUAAUCUUUACUGGGCUUUGAGAUUAAAUCAUUCUGGGGAUGGGGAUGCUGUCACCGAAGAAGCACCUGCUAUAAACUACAUUUGACAGCCCCGCACUCUGCAGCAGACAGUUGGGUGGCUGAAGAGCAGUGCUGCCAUGCUGGGCGCCCCUGUGCUCCACUGCAGCGCCGCGACUGCGCUGCAUCCGCAGCCACAGCCAGCCAAGCAAGCACAGCUGCCAGCUGCCUGCUGGGACCAAGAGCCAGCCUGCUGACAACAAGCCCAGUAGUUUUCCUAAGCACUCUUGCCUUCCAAGAAGAAAGCUGGCCUUUACUCCCCCCUAGAAACAUCUCUCCUUCUCAGUGCUCAUUUUCAGCGUGUGCUUAAUCUGUCAUCGUCCUCUUGUCAAAGGAAAAGUGAGGGUUGCUUGACCUGACACAAAUCCUGUCUCUGGAACAGCAACGUGAACUGGCUGAAAGAAUCCCUGUCAAGAUGAGUUUUUUGAUAUCAUCCCAAUGUGAAUGCACCUGAUUAUUCUGAAAAUAUAAGGGAGAGCAUGCAUAUCAGGAAAGUGCUUGACAAUUCUGCCACAGAUUUAACUAUAGACGAGUAUUCAGUAUCUAACUGAAAAUCCACCUGAAAAUCACAUAAGUGGAAAAAUAAGAUAUGUGUAUGAAUGAAUUUUAGCAAUCACACUACUGUAUUAAUAGCAGACCAACACAGUUUCUCCACAAGCCUUUGCUUGGUGCACACACAGGGCAGCUAAGCUUCCACCCUGGGAACCACUGCACAUACACCCCAGCAAUCCCUGCCCUGCCAGGCCUCCCCAGCCCCAUUUCCAAAAUCACAUCAUUUUUCUCGAGAGCUCCUCUGCAGGAGAGAAAGCGCAGAGCCUGAAUGCUCAAAGUGGGGUAUAAACUGGCUUUUGUGUGUAUGCAUACGUGCGUAUGUAUGGAGGACACAUGGGAAAAACAGGCCCAUAUCUUUUCAUGAUAACAAAGAAGGAAAUAACUUCAGAUGAUUUUGUGUGCCCAGGUCCCAGAUAUGUUAAUUAUUAGAGGUAAAAACCAAGAAAUACAUCUUCAAGUAAAGUACUGUUAUCCAAGAUAUAUUUUGUAGGAAUUGCUGUAGCUACAUCUGUGAUGCUAUAUUUAUAUGCUAUGCUCUGGAAAUUCUUAUUUCUGUGGAGAAGAGGAAGAGAAUGAUGGAUGCUUUAAUAUAGUGAUAGUUUUCCCUUUUGUAUUCAUGAGUAGGCCUUGAAUUCUACUUCUGAGGUUUACAUCAUUAGAAUUCUACUUGACCUGAAUCUCCCUUGCAUAGUUUGAUUUUAUGACACCAUUAAGUUUAUUUAGCAAUGGAAUUACUUUCAUCCUAAUUACUUUUGCAGUCUGUGUUGUUUUCACAAAAUGAGACAUGGACUAGAAAGCAAAAAAUGUAACCAUAGAAGUCCUAAUAAUUUCCUAAUGUAUUAUUUCAUUAAUUCAUCAACUCUCCAGUGUGAGGCACGCUGGUGAACAGUGUAGGACCUGGCUGAAAAAAAAUCUGAGUUACAAGUUAUGGGACACAUUAACAAAGUUGGCAUUAAGAAUGCAAGAAUGCAAAAACUGCCCAGCAUCCAUGUAGGUUAAACUAUACUUUUUAUAGAAGAACUGAAAUAUUUUUAGGCUUUUUCCUACUUGUUUAAUUUUUCCCCAUCAGAACAUCUUCUUGAUGACUGUGUGAUUUUUGCAAAAAUGCAUUGCUUCAGUUACCUUUCUUUGUAUUUUCCUGACAUCCCUGAGCAAUAUUGGAUAUUUCCUUUGUGUUCAAUAUUUUAGUAUGAUGUUGACCCUGUGUUUUCUAACCUUGCCAAAUUUUCAUUUGUCUGUGUUUUCUUUUCUUACAAUUUUUUUUCCCUUCUUCUAGAACACAGGGAAAAUCUGGUCAAAUGAGCCAGUUGUUUUGCUUGGGCUAUUGACUCUGCUUCCUUUAGAGGACACAUUUAAAAUUUAUAUAAUAUUGGAUAAAUUUUUUCCUCAUUUCCUAUAUUUUAUGUGGGAACUUUUCUUUGGUCUGAAAAAGUAUUUUAUUGUUUUUAAAUUUCUGCUUCCUUGAAACAUAUUACACACUAUAUCAAAAGGGAAAGCAAAAAAAAAAAAAAA